rnacentral:rRNA from 1 species
UACGUAGGGUGCAAGCAUUGUCCGGAUUUAUUGGGCGUAAAGAGCUCGUAGGCGGCUUGUCACGUCGGGUGUGAAAACUCGGGGCUCAACCCCGAGCCUGCACUCGAUACGGGCUGCUAGAGUGUUGCAGGGGGAGACUGGAAUUCCUGGUGUAGCGGUGAAAUGCGCAGAUAUCAGGAGGAACACCGGUGCCGAAGGCGGGUCUCUGGGCAACUACUGACGCUGAGGAGCGAAAGCGUGGGGAGCGAACAGG